rnacentral:tRNA from 1 species
GACCCUAUCGUCUAGCGGUUAGGACACUGCCCUUUCACGGCAGCGGCACGGGUUCGACUCCCGUAGGGGACG